rnacentral:rRNA from 1 species
GGGUCAGUAGGUUGGUCGUGCCACCGGUACGUACUGGUCUCACUGAUUCCUCCUUCCUGAAGAACCGUAAUGCCAUUAAUUUGGUGUUGCAGGGAAACAGGACUGUUACUUUGAAAAAAUUAGAGUGUUUAAAGCAAGCUAACGCUUGAAUACAUUAGCAUGGAAUAAUGAAAUAGGACGAUCGAUCCUAUUUUGCUGGUUUCUAGGAUUGACGUA